CACCAUCUCUGUACAGCUAGAGCAGAGAGAAUACAUAUGCACCAGCAGCGGACACAAUUUUCUACACUCUGGGUCCUAGUGGCGCCCCCAUACAGUCUGGGACUUGAGGCAGCCACCUCAUUUCACCUCAUGGUAAGGCCAGCCCCGAACCAAACCCUUGUUACCAACCAAAAUGAACAUUUGCAGAAAAUGAAUGCAUUUGCAUAUUUGCUGUGUAUAAAAGGGGCCCACAAGCUUCUGAACACCCCUCAUUGAAAAUUCUUUCAGUUCUGCAAACAUCAUUUGGGGAGAUUUCCAAAAGCUGGCCUCUGCUUUUGUACCCAUGAACUAAAGGUGCAGUAACUGAGGGUGCAAGUUUGUACUUGCAUCCCUUUGUACCCACAGUUAACGUCAUUUGGACAGCUACAUAACUGAUUUGGAAAUGGAAAAAAAGGUAAGAUUGGUGGCUUGUCUGAAGAUAUAUAAAGAUGGCUCUGUACAUGACAUUCAAGAUUGGUGUGUGAGAAUGGGAAUCUUUGGUAAACUCUUUGGUCCUAGAAAUGAGAAGUUACUAGAAUUUCCAACAUUUAUUGUACAGUCAAGGGAAAAAUAAAUAAUUUUUGAAAAGGAAUUACAAUUAUUAGUUUAUUUAUUUUUACUUUUAUUUUAACCUUAUGCAAACUCUAAAGAAAAGGGCAUCCAUUCAAUGCAAAAACUACACUGAAAAGAGUUUCAUUUACUUCUGCCACUUUUGGUGGUUUUCAAAUCACAUUUAUUUAGUGUUUAUUUUUUCUUGUUGUUGUGUGAAAGUCCCAUACAAACAACAGAGGGAAACUGACUAUGCAUGGAAUACAGUAAAAGUACCUUUACACAAAGUGUUGCCCAGUGCAAUGAGUUUGCAAACUGGGGGAUGGGGAGGGGAAGAAAUAUUUUCCCAUCCUAUGACAGAGAAAAUCAGAGGCAGACUUAUGGCUCCACUUGUUAAUAAGCUUUGACAAAAGAAUUAUGAAUGAGCCCCCUCCAUCCCUUUGACUAAACCCCAGUUUGCCCCUCUUCAAUUCUUUUAUCAACUUGACCAGGAAGUAUGGCGUCAUCACUGCAGUUCUCCACUCUAUCAACUUCCUCCACUCUACUUUCUAAUUCUCUUAUUUCCCUCUCUUUUACACCAGUCAAAAGGCAGACAGAGGAGAUGGAAAGAACCAAGACAGCAGAUUCAUCUUCGGGAUCCAAGAGCAGAGGGAGAGAUCAGAAGAGAUGGAAUAUCCCAUUCUACACCUUAUUCUCCUGUUAAAGGCAAAGCCCUGUGAACAGAAGAUGCUGCUUCUCUCACUAUCCCUUCUCCUGAUAGGGAUAGUGAGAGAAGGAAAUCAGAAAGAGUAGGGAUGGUAUUGUUGGCUCCUUGGUGUCUUUGCCACCCAGGAUUCUUUGGUGAACCAAGCUUAGACUCUGUUUAACCUUCCUGCCUAAAAUUAAGUGCCAGGAAAUUGAAAGGAGCUGUUUCAUAGCUGAGUAUCUCUUCACAAAGGUUGCAGAUUGCCUGAUUAGAAGCAGAACUUUGACCUAUUCCUGUACAGAAGCCCUUCACUAGAUGACCACUAGAAGAGGACAGCAGGAGGAGUCUAUGACAAAUACAAUUAAUGGUCUGUGACAUCCAGACUUCCACUACUUGUUUGGUACUAUGGACUAGCAUGCACUCAGCUGGUCACAUCCCAACCACCACUAACCCUCACUAGGGACCAGUGCAGGUCUACAGAAGAAGAAACAACACCAGAUCCAGAAUUUUGGUCCAACACUCAGGUCAAAAUAGGUAAAAGUAUUAUAAGAAUAAUACCUAACUCUUAAAUACUGCUUUUUUCAUCAGUAGAUCUCAAAGCACUUUACAAAGGAGUUAUGUAUUAUUAUCCCCGUUGAACAGAUGGGGAAACUGAGGCACAAAUAAGUGCAGUGACUUGCCCAAGUUCACCCAGAAGAUCAGUGGCAGAGACUGAGUCCCAGGAGUGUGCACUAUCCAUUGGAAUGCCAUUUUCUUUGAAGAGCUCAAAAAAUGAAAAUGUUUUUCCUGAAAUUGCUUCAAUAUCCUUUAUAACAGUUGAGAAGAUUAAGACCUAGAUUCAGCUACCCUGCUUCAAGGGUAUCCUUCUUCUGAAUGCAGUCCUAUUGUUUCAUUGGGGAGGGGGGUGCUUGUAAAGAACAGUGCUACAUGCCUUGAGGAAGGAUGAAUCAGUCCCUCAAAUAUUAACCGAGAGCAUUAAAUGAGAACAAAAGCCCACAGGUAAGUAUAAAAAAGGAAAGUUAAACAGAGGCCUAGAUGUUGGGGGGACAAGGAAAAUUACAUUAGGGUCAUAGGAGCAAUAAGCAGGAAAUCGGUGAG